rnacentral:rRNA from 1 species
UACGUAGGGGGCAAGCGUUAUCCGGAUUUACUGGGUGUAAAGGGAGCGUAGGCGGUUCAGCAAGUCAGAAGUGAAAGCCCGGGGCUCAACUCCGGGACCGCUUUUGAAACUGUUGAACUAGAUUGCAGGAGAGGUAAGUGGAAUUCCUAGUGUAGCGGUGAAAUGCGUAGAUAUUAGGAGGAACACCAGUGGCGAAGGCAGCUUACUGGACUGCAAAUGACGCUGAGGCUCGAAAGCGUGGGGAGCAAACAGG